rnacentral:lncRNA from 1 species
CAGGAAAAAAAUGUACUAAAAUUUAUGAUAUUUUUUGUUUACUCCAUGGAUCUACAUAUGUGGAGCUGAAAAUUUUGAUUUGUAAUUUUUACAUUUUUCUAUAAAUUACUACGCAUUUAUCAAUUUACAACCGAUCAAUUUUACACUAAAAAGCACAGGUAAGCAUCUCCAAUAAAAAAUAUACUAAAAUUUAUGAUAUUUUUUAUUUACUACAUGAUAUAUAUAUGUGGAGCUGAACAAAAUUUGUUUUAUAAUUUUUAGAUUUUUCUAUAAAUUACUACAUAUUUAUCAAUUUUCAACCGUAAAGAAUAAAAGAAAAGUAAACUAAUAGAGCAAAUACUUAUAAAAGAUUUUGUAUUUGAAAUUCUAGAAAAUUUUUUAUUUUGUUUUUUCUCUUCCACGUUGCGGAAGGAGGGGAACGGUUCCAGCCCUUUGGAUGCCGCUCGGACAGAAGCAGAGGAGGUUUUGCACCUAGGCCCUUAUAGUUUUUUUAUUUAAUGUGUAUUUAAGAUUUUAUAUUAGAAACCCUAAAAAAAAUUUAUUUUAUUUUUUUCUUCAUGGAACGGAGGCGGAUGAGGAGGCAGAAGAUUCCUGCGACAGACUGAAACUUUGGUGAUUUAGUAGUAGGGAUAGAUAUAUAUAAUAUUUAUCACAUGAAUCUGGGUACAUAUAUUUUUGUUUAGAGCAGUUUUCCUUUGUGAAAAUAUGAAAACUAUCAGACUUUAAUUUCUCCUAUUUUUUGCCACUUUCGAGGCCCAUCUAACUAUUGAUGCAAGUGUGGGCUACUUGUCUCACGGGAGGCUGAUUCAAUUGCAUAUAUGGGCCUCCGUGCAGUGCGACUUGGGCCCAAACCCAAUAACGCGCAUGAGAACACGCAAGCGUGAGCGUCGGCUCCUGCGACUGCGAGCGUGGGGGGGCUUGCGGCGCGCAUGAAAGAACUGGACCGUGGGCCCUUUUGACCAUGCGAAACGAAGGCCCAAGACAUGUAAAAGAAAAAUCGAUCCAGGCCCGUAACGAGCUGCAUAUAUAUAUAUAAAAAUCUAAAAUAAAUAUUUAGUAGAAAUAAAAAAUAUAUCCCACUAAAAAUAUAUAAAAUAUAUAAAAUAAAUAUUUAGUAGUGAGAGACUGGCUUCUUCCACUUUUUCUAGCGACAUCAUCGAGCAUAUGGGAGUGUAUAGUGGAAUCCAAAACGCAUAGAGCCUAUUCGCUUAGCAGAAAAGUCAUGAUUAAAAAUAUUAUUCGCUGAUU